rnacentral:rRNA from 1 species
CUGAAAGGGAACCGAAUCGUUUCCAGUGUCUAUAAUCUGUGGCAUAUUUCAUUGGCGAGCGUUUGCGUGCGUGUGCUGUGGCAGUGGCUUUUUUGGCUGCGCCUGGUGUGUGUGGUGUGAGUGUUUGCUGGUGCCCUGUGCUGCGGUGGGACGUCAAGGUCAGUUCGUAUGCUGCGGGAAAUGGCUGCCGAGGAGGUAGGGCUUACGCUCCGCGUUUGUCUGUUAUAUCUUGGUGGACGAGUCGUCGCGGUUGGGACUGAGGUGCCUACAACGUGCUUUUGAGUGGGUUUGUGUCUCCGUGUGCGCCGUGUGCGGAUAGCUUGCUAUGCGUGUGUGGUUGUGUGUGGAUUGAUGCGGGCCUUAACUUGUCGCCGUUCGGGACGUUGACGAAAUGGAGCGAUCCGACCCGUCUUGAAACACGGACCAAGGAGUCUAACAUGUGUGCAAGUGUUAGGGUGUGGAAACCCCAGCGCGAAAUGAAAGUGAAGGGCAGCGCAAGUUGUCUGAGGUAGGAAAUGUUGCGGGCCUCGGUCUGCGGCGUGGCACUAUCGACCGAUCAUGAACCUUCGUGGUGAAAGAUUUGAGUUUGAGCACAUAUGUUGGUACCCGAAAGAUGGUGAACUAUGCCUGAGUAGGGUGAAGCCAGGGGAAACUCUGGUGGAAGCUCGUAGCGAUUCUGACGUGCAAAUCGAUCGUCAAACUUGGGUAUAGGGGCGAAAGACUAAUCGAACCAUCUAGUAGCUGGUUCCCUCCGAAAUUUCCCUCAGGAUAGCAGCAACUUAUUUACGAUAGUUUUAUGAGGUAAAGCGAAUGAUUAGAGGAUUCGGGGAAGAAACUUCCUCGACCUAUUCUCAAACUUUAAAUCUGUAAGACCUGCAGGUUUCUUAAUUGAACUUGUGGAUGUGAAUAUCAA